rnacentral:pre_miRNA from 1 species
UCAUUUGGAUUCGCCAUCAUACGUCCAACCGUGCAUUUGAUAUGCAUAUAUAUGCAUCACGAGCAACGGUUGGGCUGUAUGAUGGCGAUACCGAUUGG